AUGCCCUGUGUUUGUGUAACAGGGCCUCAGGAGGAGGCAACACUGGGCUCUGGGGGAUGGACGACCCCGGAGGAGCUUUCGGAGCAGGCCUCCCAGGCUCAGCACCUCGAACGGCUGGCUCAGCUCUGCAUCAUGAGCAAACAACCUCACCUUGCUCUAGAAUACAGCGGCAAGGCUACAAAGAUCCACCAGAGGGCCUUUGGUAAUGACCACCCGAUCACAGCCAGAAGCCUCGAGCUAAUGGCCACUGUCUAUGCUGAGAUUGGCAAGACUGAAUAUUCAGACUCCCUGGGUCAGUGUGUGUCUGCACUGUCCAAACGCUUAGCUGCUGCGGAAUCCAUCAGAGACUCAACCGUCAACUGUCUUCCUCAAUCCCACCGGGAGAAACACUCAGAGGUCCGCCACAGGAAGGACAUCCACCACCAACAGGAGGACACACCAAAAGCCAAGGUAACAAAUGGCAAAGUCCCCACCUCCAUUCUUAAGAGGCCGAGCCCAAACUACGGGUCAGACGCAGAACUGAACCACAGGAGGAAAGGCGAACGGAGGGUUCGAUUCCGAGAGCCAGAGACCACAGUACAUGAUAUCCCAUACUGUGACUGUUUAGGUGCCUACGAGACGACACCGUCCCGCCCCCACCUCGCCCUCUUCACUUGCCUCUUCCUGCUGAUGUCAUUCCUGGGUGUGGCCAUGUACUGCACAGACCGCCGGCGCCCACAGCGAGUGUGUGAGGAGCUGGAGGCCGCUUUGGCCGUCUACCUGCUGCACAUGAAACAGCUUCUGUGGGGUUGCUGGAUAUGGUUGACCAUGCAAUGA
rnacentral:lncRNA from 1 species